GACGUAGGGCGCGAGCGUUGUCCGGAUUUAUUGGGCGUAAAGAGCUCGUAGGCGGCUUGUCGCGUCGACCGUGAAAACUUGGGGCUCAACCCCAAGCCUGCGGCCGAUACGGGCAGGCUCGAGUUCGGUGAGGGGAGACGUGGAAUUCCUGGUGUAGCGGUGAAAUGCGCAGAUAUCAGGAGGAACACCGGUGGCGAAGGCGGGUCUCUGGGCCGAUACUGACGCUGAGGAGCGAAAGCGUGGGGAGCGAACAGG
rnacentral:rRNA from 1 species